AACAGGUACAUAGACUGCAUUGACUUAGACUGUUGUGGGUCACGUAUGUCUUCACAUUCUGCUGGAUGUGUGUCUUUACAUCUACUGGUAAUAGGAUCUUUGCAUUUUUUUUUUUUCCUGGCAGAAGUAAUGGAUCUUGCUAAAUUUUCUUUAUUUAAUAAGCUGCACUUAUAUGGCUGUAGGAUUAUGGGUCAAUCUUUGGUUAUGGAGUAUAGUUUUCUUUCAUGCAGUUUCCCCACAGGAGAUUUAAUGCACAACUAGCCUAUGUUUGCACUCCAACCAGCUAGCCAGGUUACUUUAAAAUGGUUUCAUUUCAUAUGUAGUAUUGUUCAAGAAGAUCAAGAGUUUCACAUAUGUGUAUUAGCUGUGUGUUAAGUUUUAUCUAUAUUAAAUUCACUUUAUAUAAAGUAAAUGUAUGGUAGCCA